GAUGAACGCUGGCGGCGUGCCUAAUACAUGCCAGUCGAGCGAACGGACGAGAAGCUUGCUUCUCUGAUGUUAGCGGCGGACGGGUGAGUAACACGUGGAUAACCUACCUAUAAGACUGGGAUAACUUCGGGAAACCGGAGCUAAUACCGGAUAAUAUUUUGAACCGCAUGGUUCAAAAGUGAAAGACGGUCUUGCUGUCACUUAUAGAUGGAUCCGCGCUGCAUUAGCUAGUUGGUAAGGUAACGGCUUACCAAGGCAACGAUGCAUAGCCGACCUGAGAGGGUGAUCGGCCACACUGGAACUGAGACACGGUCCAGACUCCUACGGGAGGCAGCAGUAGGGAAUCUUCCGCAAUGGGCGAAAGCCUGACGGAGCACCGCCGCGUGAGUGAUGAAGGUCUUCGGAUCGUAAAACUCUGUUAUUAGGGAAGAACACAUGUGUAAGUAACUGUGCACAUCUUGACGGUACCUAAUCAGAAAGCCACGGCUAACUACGUG
rnacentral:rRNA from 1 species